AAAAAAAGGUACUGAUCAAAAGCUAGUUUCUUUACUUGCAGACACCGUACUGGGUUUUCUAUUUUGUACACUCAAGCACACAACCGUGUGGUUUGUAGUAUCUUUUAGAUGUCCUCUUAAAACUUUGUAAGUGUUUGACACGUGUCACGAUGUUAUUGUUGCCUCUUUGCCAUUGUUUUAUUCCAUUCCACACAUUUGUAAUCCUCCGUGUAGGCAGAGCUGUGAGCUCUGAGGAGGAGGACGAGGGUGAUGUGCCACCCAAAAAGAAAAAACACAAGAGUGGGAGAUAUUUGGACAGCAGUGGGUCUGACUGACAAGAGGCAGAUGGGUAAAAAUACAUUUUAACAUCAAACGACACUUAACUUCUUAAUGGGUAAUGUUGUGUGUCAUGUCUUUUAAGCUACUGGAUGGAUGCCUAAAUUUCCCUCGCGAUAAAUAAAGUAUCUAUCUACAAGCACAUCCUGCGGGUCAUGGUCAACUGUAGAAUUCAACUGAUGAGGAUGGGGAUGGCAGCUACCUCCCCAUUUGCCCCUAACACAGGGGUGGGGAACCUCUGUCCUCUGGGCCGUACACAAACGAGUCCGCGGCUAAAAGAGUCCCCGUGGAAAACUCAUUUCUAUCGUUCCGGGAGGGUUCCACAGAGCCGGAUGAAGUGGGGUGGUGGUAAAUGUGUGCGUAGUACAUUUUGUAGCCGCAUAGUCGUUUUUGUUACAUGAUAAUUAUAGUUUAUAUUAUUGCGGCUGCAAAAUGCAUGCACUGUUAAAAUCAGAAAAACCAAAUCUGAUUAUUUCCAAACUGAAACUACAAAUAACUUAAAUAAUCCCCUUAAAUUCUGGAAAACUAAAUCAAUAGCUGGAAAUAAAAAUGUGAUAGAGCUUCCACCUUGUAUUGUCAAAGACUCUCUUCAAAUCUCUGACAAGGCAGACAUGCUUGGUGGUUUUAAUGAACAUUUUAUUGCCUCUGGUUCCUUGUUUGAAUCUCAGAACAUACCUCAAGGAGCCCCUGCUCGCUCUGAAGGUCGUGUCUGGCAGGGUCAACCCUUUACUUUUAAUCCAGUAACAGUCUCAGAGGUGCAUAAAGCCCUUUAAAGUUUAGACGCAAGAAAAUCAGCAGGUCCUGACAACCUAGAGCCAUACUUUUUAAAGUUAGCAGCUGAUUUCCUCGCCUCGCCCCUGGCCCAUCUUUUCAAUCUAUCCCUGGAGACAAAUGAAAUUCCCCUUAUUUGGAAAUCUGCUUUUGUUCUCCCACUGUUGAAAGGGGGUGACCCCACUCUCCCGCAACAAUUACAGACCCAUCUCCAAAUUGUCUGUCUUAAAUAAAGUGCUGGAAUCAUUGGUAAGUCAACAACUAAAGUACUUUUUAUCGACUAAUAAUAUUUUAUCUGACCUUCAAUCUGGUUUUACAAAAAAACACAGCACUACAACAGUCUCCUUAAAAGUAGUAAAUGAUUUUAUAAAUUUCUUGGACAAUAGAGAACAUUGUGCAGCACUUUUUAUUGAUUU
rnacentral:lncRNA from 1 species